AAACUGUGGUGUUAGAGAAGACUCUUGAGAGUCCUUUGGACUGCAAGGAGAUCAAACCAGUUAGUCAUAAAGGAACUCAAUCCUGAAUAUUCAUUGGAGGGACCGAUGCUGAAGCUGAAGCUGAAUACUUUGGCCACCUGAUGUGAAGAGCUGAUUUAUUGGAAAAGGCCCUGAUGCUGGGAAAGAUUGAAGGUAGAAGGAGAAAGGGAUGACAGAGGAUGAGAUGGUUGGAUGGCAUCACAGACUCAAUGGACAUGAGUUUGAGCAAGCUCCAGGAGAUGGUGAUGGACAGGGAGUCCUGAUGUGCUGCAGUCCAUGGGGUCACAAAGAGUCAGGCACAACUGAGUGACUGAACAACCUGUAGCUUAGCAUGCCUAGUACUUUUUGUUGUUGUUCAUCAUAGAACACUGUUAAUGAGAAGUUGUAGAGGCUCUGUAUGAUGUUAACUUGGUCUAGCAAGUAUUUCUUUUUCUUCUAGAAGGCAGUUAGAGAAGAGAGAUUGGGAUCAUCCGGGGCCAGGUUUCCACCUUCUUAAGACCUGGUCUAAUUUAGUUUGUCCUUAAUCCCCAUGUACUGUACAGGGUCUCAUUUGUAAGUCUGGGGGAUUUUUCAGCAGGGUGCUCCUCUUCCCUGGUUCGACCUGACCUCCAAGAGACAGCCACACCCUCUGCUGAGCCUCUUAGCCUUUGAGCUCUUACAUUUAUUUGGCUCCUUGGUUUCUCAUUCCUCCUGCUUUGAGACCAGCAAGGCAUCUUGAAGGUUGAACAGAAUAUGAGCUCACUUCUCUGCGUGCGCUUUUAUCCAGGUGCUCAGCUUGAGAAUUCCAUGGACUGCACAGUCCAUGGGGUCGCAAAGAGUCGGACACGACUGAGAGACUUUCACUUUCACUUGGCUUCUCAAGGGCUGAGUCCCCGUUUGUGCCUCCCCUGUCUGGGGAGAUCCUUGAGAAUCUCAGUGGCCACUCUUUGCUCAGCCUGAAGGCCUGGAUCACUUUCAAACCAGCAAAUGUCUCACAAGGAAGAGGGGUAGCAAGUCAGGCUUAAAUAAAUGGGCUUUCCUGGGACUUCCCUGGCUAUCCAGGAGUUGGGACCUCCUUCCAAUGCAUAAGGUGUGAGUUCAAUCACUGGUCCAAGAGCCAAGAUUCCACAUGCAUCAUGGCCAAAAAGAAUAAAACAGGCAGAACAUAAAACAGAAGCAACAUUGUAACAAAUUCAAUAAAGUCUUUAAAAAUGGUCUGCAUCAAAAAUAAAUCUUAAAAAAAUUAAAGUAAAUGGGCUUUUCUUCUCAGUGGGGUCCUGGACCCUCGAGUCUAGCUGCCUUGUUGCUCUCCAAUAUCUUCAAACAAAUCUUAAAAAACCUACCACUUAUAAUUGCUCUUAGUGGAAGGUUAGUCUGUCACCACCUAUUUCAUGGUGGGAGUUGAAGUCUCAUCAUUGAUUAUUUGUCUCAGCUCCCAUUCGUUGAGUUUGGCUCUGUGUUCCAGGUACCAUACCUAAGCUUUUUCAUGCUUUUCAAAAAAGGAAUCCUCAGAACAGACCAUUGAGGUAGGUGCUAUGGCUGUCCCCAUUUCACAGGUGGAGAACCUGAGUCAGAAAAGGUGAAAAGAUUUGCCCAGGAUCAGGCAAUCAUAAAAAAGAUACAGAACUUGAAUCCAGAUAUAACUGACACCAAAGCCAACCUUUAACUGAUAGACAACCAGCCUCUCCAGUCUAGCUUUGAGGUUAAGAGCUGGCUCUAGGGACUCCUUUCUCCAUGAAGCCCUCCUAGAAUACUCCAAGUGUCUCUCUCACCUCUGCUCUUCUAUUGCAACGACUGUGUAUGCCAAGAUCCCCAUGUGCUCCCACUGAGAAUGUUGGCACCCUGGGUAUCCUGAAGGUACAGUCCCUGAGGGCGGGCCUCACACACGCCUGGCACAGCCGAUGCAGACUGGGGCUCAGAGAGGGAGAGCGCAUGGAGGAGAUGGAGUAUAGAGGGAGAGCUUGUUCAUUCCUGGGGCAGGUACAGUUCCGGGAGAGCACGUGGAGGAGGUGGAGUACAGGGGGAGAGCUUGUUCAUUCCUGGGGCAGGUACAGUUCCCAUCUCUGGGCGAGCCCCAGUGGUUGUGUCACAGGCUGGGGCGGGCAGGGAUGGAUGAUUGUUUUCAGAGCUCUCUGUUUCUCCUUCCU
ensembl:lncRNA